UCGAACUCGAAGCGAUCCUCCUGCCUCAGCCUCCCAAGUGCUGGGAUUAUAGGCGUGCACCACCACGCCCGGCUAUGCAGAGGUUCUCAAAUUGAUGACGGGAGCGGAGGGACAGAGUAUUAAAUGGAGCCUUCGGCGUGGCUAUUUUCUGGGGGACCAGUGCACAGCAUCCUUCUUAAGAGGUCUUUCUGCCCCCUUGAAAAAAUCGAGUCCUCUCUCCAAGCCAGGACUGGAAACCUGAGCUUCUCCCUAGUCCAGUGCAUCUGCCAUCUGCAGUUGAUAAUUCGGAAGGAAUGGACUUUUCAGAACCAAUAGUAAAAAUAUGAUAAAUGCAAGGAGUGCUAUCAAGCUAAAGGAGGAGAAGACCAGACCAGAUUUGUGAAGGGUCCCUCAGCAGACGGAGUAGCUAGAGAUUUCCUUGUAGACUUGCUCCUGAGCAGACCACGCCUGACCUCACGGAAGAAGUCGAGCCAGGAGAUGGAGCUCUUUGCCCAGUGAGGACAUGCCGCCCUCCUGGGAGUCCUGGUCCCUGCAGCACGGCUGGGAGGUGCCACCCAACACGACGAAACGGCCUGGCUCCCGCGCGUCAGGAGGUGGAAUAAGUGCGGCUCUGUCACAGGAACACUUUUCUGCAAAGAGCUGCUUCCAGGGAAUGACCUCGAGGGGAUCUGUGAAUUUGUGGUUUUUUUUUUUUUGUUUUGUUUUUUUUUGGCGGGGGAGUUUGUUUUGUUGGGUACCGGGAA